GGCGGUGGCACUGACACAUGUGGAGUUCCGAGGGCACCAGCGAGCACAGACUGUGGGGGCAGAGGCUGUGGGACAAAGACCAGGCAGAGUCUCUAAGGUUC